rnacentral:rRNA from 1 species
CCUACGGGAGGCUGCAGUGGGGAAUAUUGGGCAAUGGGCGCAAGCCUGACCCAGCAACGCCGCGUGAAGGAAGAAGGCUUUCGGGUUGUAAACUUCUUUUCUCAGGGACGAAGAAAGUGAAGGUACCUGAGGAAUAAGCCACGGCUAAUUACGUGCCAGCGGCCGUGGUAAUACGUAGGUGGCAAGGGUUAUCCGGAUUUAUCGGGUGUAAAGGGCGUGUAGGCGGGAGCGCAAGUAAGAUGUGAAAACUCAGGGCUCAACCGUGAACCUGCAUUUGAUACUGUGUUUCUUGAGUGCUGGGGAGGCAAUCGGAAUGCCGGGUGUAGCGGUGAAAUGCGUAGAUAUACGGAGGAACACCAGUUGCGAAGGCGGAUUGCUGGACAGUAACUGACGCUGAGGCGCGAAAGCGUGGGGAGCAAACAGGAUUAGAUACCCUGGUAGUC